UUGAACUCCUGUUCUACACUUCCC
rnacentral:piRNA from 1 species